rnacentral:rRNA from 1 species
GAUGAACGCUGGCGGCGUGCCUAAUACAUGCAAGUAGAACGCUGAAGGAGGAGCUUGCUCUUCUGGAUGAGUUGCGAACGGGUGAGUAACGCGUAGGUAACCUGCCUGGUAGCGGGGGAUAACUAUUGGAAACGAUAGCUAAUACCGCAUGACAACAGUUAUUGCAUGAUAACUGUUUAAAAGGGGCAACUGCUCCACUACCAGAUGGACCUGCGUUGUAUUAGCUAGUUGGUGAGGUAACGGCUCACCAAGGCGACGAUACAUAGCCGACCUGAGAGGGGGAGAGGCCAAGCUGGGACGGGGACACGGCCCAGACCCCUACGGGAGGCAGCAGGAGGGAAUCUUCGGCAAUGGACGGAAGGCUGACCGAGGAACGCCGCGUGAGUGAAGAAGGUUGUCGGAUCGUAAAGCUCGGUUGUAAGAGAAGAACGAGUGUGAGAGUGGAAAGUUCACACUGUGACGGUAGCUUACCAGAAAGGGACGGCUAACUACGUG